rnacentral:rRNA from 1 species
CAGUAGCCGCGGGAAUACGUAGGGUGCAAGCGUUGUCCGGAAUUAUUGGGCGUAAAGAGCUCGUAGGCGGUUUGUCGCGUCUGCUGUGAAAUCCCGAGGCUCAACCUCGGGCUUGCAGUGGGUACGGGCAGACUAGAGUGCGGUAGGGGAGAUUGGAAUUCCUGGUGUAGCGGUGGAAUGCGCAGAUAUCAGGAGGAACACCGAUGGCGAAGGCAGAUCUCUGGGCCGUAACUGACGCUGAGGAGCGAAAGCGUGGGGAGCGAACAGGAUUAGAUACCCCAGUAGUCCCUGUCUCUUAUAU